CUACGGGAGGCAGCAGUGGGGAAUUUUCCGCAAUGGGCGAAAGCCUGACGGAGCAAUACCGCGUGAGGGAGGAAGGCUCUUGGGUUGUAAACCUCUUUUCUCAGGGAAGAACAAAAUGACGGUACCUGAGGAAUAAGCAUCGGCUAACUCCGUGCCAGCAGCCGCGGUAAUACGGAGGAUGCAAGCGUUAUCCGGAAUUAUUGGGCGUAAAGCGUCCGCAGGUGGCAGUUCAAGUCUGCUGUCAAAGGUCAGGGCUCAACCCUGAACAGGCAGUGGAAACUGAACAGCUAGAGUGCGGUAGGGGCAGAGGGAAUUCCCAGUGUAGCGGUGAAAUGCGUAGAGAUUGGGAAGAACACCGGUGGCGAAAGCGCUCUGCUAGGCCUGCACUGACACUCAGGGACGAAAGCUAGGGGAGCGAAUGGGAUUAGAUACCCCAGUAGUCCUAGCCGUAAACGAUGGAUACUAGGCGUAGCUUGUAUCGACCCAAGCUGUGCCGUAGCUAACGCGUUAAGUAUCCCGCCUGGGGAGUACGCGCGCAAGCGUAAAACUCAAAGGAAUUGACGG
rnacentral:rRNA from 1 species